rnacentral:misc_RNA from 1 species
UUUUAGAAAAUAAUUUAAAGGAAAAAUGUUAAUUCAGUUAAUAUUAGUUUUUGUAUACUGCUCAGAUUUUUCUGGUCUUCUAUCAUAUAUUUUGGAAAUUAGAGAAUUACCUGAAGAUUUUCAUCUAAAAAUUGGCAUUGAGAGUGGUGGUGGAUCACUUAAAGUUUGUCUGAAUGUGCUCCCUGAAAAUGAUCCCGAAUAUGUCAAGAAAUAUAAAAGUGCUGGAAUUAAUAAACUAUUUAUAAUUGGCUUAGGACCAAAGUUGUCUGAAUCUUAUGCUAACAUUAAAAGCCUCUUUGAGGCGUUAGAUCUGCAGUCCAUAUGUGGAAUUUGUUCCUAUACUUUUGCCGCUGACUUUAAGCUUAUUAUGAUUCUCCUUGGUCUUCAGUCAAAUUCAUCCACUCACACUUGCCCAUGGUGUGAUGUAAAUGUAAAGGAAAUGGAAAUUAAAGGAUCAUUCAGAACUAUAAAAAGUAUUACAGAAAAUACAAAUUUAUGGCAACAAUCUGGAGGAAAUAUAACAAAAGCCAAAGAUUUUAAAAAUUGUAUAAACAUACCUUUAAUCAUUGGCGACGUAGAAACACCUGUCUUAAGGUAUAUUCCCCCUCCCGAGCUUCACCUUUUGUUAGGUGUGGUUCAAAAACUAUUUGAUUGUCUUGAAUUGGAGAAUAUCAAUGUUGCAACAGAAUGGAUAAAAAAAAAGCGGGAUUGAAACUAGAUCAUUAUGGAAAAUGUAACGGAAAUAUCGCCAGACAAUUUUUAAAGAAAGUGGAUAUUUUGAAGACGAUAUCGCCCGGAAUAAAUAUAUUGCAGUGUUUUCUGCAUUCAAUCAACUAGUUUCGAGUUGUUUUGGUCAAGCACUAAACAAACAUUUUGAACAUGACAUCGAACAAUUUAGAUUGGAAAUACUCAACUUAGGUAUUAAGAUAACUCCAAAGAUUCAUGCAAUUCUGCAUCAUGUGCCAGAGUUUAUAAAAGCAAAUCAGAGAGCUCUAGGAUUUUACUCGGAACAAGCAUCUGCGAUCAGGUUCAUUUUUCCUUUAAAUUAUUUUCUAAAAAGUUUAACUUGAAUCCUCGUUCAGAAUGCUACAAAAA